AGAAGAGAAAAUACAAAAUCAUAUAAAGUAACGGAUCUAUUCUGUAUCUUGUCUGUGCUUAUGUAUUUCUAAUAUAUCUUAUAUAAAAUAAUAAUAAUGGUUAUGUAUGAUCAAUCAGAAGAAAGAUGGCGUGUAUAUAAAAUUCUAUAGUUGGGUCUGUAUUAAAUAAAUUAGAUUCUGGAAGGUUAUGUUCAUUAAAACUUCAAAAUAAUACACAGUAUUCAUAACACAUGUUAAAACAAUUAGUUGAAAAAUUAAGAGUUAUAUAAAACAUUAAUUUAAAAGAUAAAAGAAUAAUGGAAAACUACAUAACUCGUUCAGCUUUUAGUUUUGGCAUUUUUGCUUUUUUUCUUUAUUUUAUAAAAGUGUCAAAUGUAUUAAGCGUAUCAACAACACAAAGUAUUAUAGAUGUAAUAAAAAAUGACAGUGAAUUAUGUAAAAUGCCGACAAUUUUAUAUGAAAAUAAUAUUACAGCGGAUUGUUAUAAUGUAACAUAUCCUGAAGGAGAACAUGUAAUUGCGCAAUAUGAUAUGACAUAUAAGAACGUACGAAAUUUUUUAUGUUUAAUAUUUUAUGAUACAUUGUAUAAAGUUUGUCAAGCUAAAUUGCAAAAUCAAUUGAAUCAUACUACUUUCUAUUCAAAUAUUCAACGAUAUUUCCCUGAAGAGAAUGAAAAUGAUCAGAAAAAUUUUUGUAAAAAUAUUAAAGAUAUUAAAUUUGCAUAUAAAAAAUUGGAUCCAUUAUUAUCACAUGUACAUUUUAAUAAUUCUAUUGUAUGUUAUGCCGCAUGUUUUAAUUUGUCAGGAAAAUUUAUUCCACUUUGUGCAAUAUUAUCAUGGAGCAAAAGUAUUGAUGAAAUAAAAGAAGAUUUUGGAAAAAAAUCUGAAAAUAAAAUUGAUAAAAAACUUGUUAUAGGUAUAAAACAGAAUUUUACAGUAUUAAAUGAAACUUCUAAUGAAACAAAAGGAGAUAUUGAUAAUAAAUAUAAAACAACAUCUAAUAUGAGAAAUAUUGGGUUAGAACAAGAAUCCCAAACUGAAUUUGUUGAAUUUACGGCAACAACAUCUGAUUUUGAAAAAAUAAAAGAAUUAAGUGCUACAGGUCAUAUUUUUGAAAAUUCAGAACCAACGCUACAUAAAAAACCUGAUAAUGAAGAUAAUAAUGAUGCAAAAUCUAAGAAUGAUAAAAAUGAUAAAGAUAUAAAUUCAAAAACAUUAUCUGAAAAUGAUGAAGAUUUAAAAAAAAAUGAAAACAAUAGAAUAAAUACUAUAAGUAAUGAAGCUGAAAAAAAUAUGAAUAGUAUAAAUGAUGAUUAUAAAACAAGUACAAUAUCAGAUAAUACUGAAGAUCAUGAAAAUUUUGCUAGCAUCAAGCAAAAUGGAAAAUUAUCUGAUGAUAUAUAUUUAUAUUUAAUGUAUUUUUAUGUCAGCAGAUCAAGAUCAAGGUAUACCUGAACCAUCUGAGCAAAGAGAUAUCUCAAUACCUCAAUAUCAUCCUAUAAGAACAGAUGAAGAAUCUCAUUUUCUUACUUACUUAACUGCACUUUCUUUAAUCUUUGUAGUUGCAUAUUUUGUUUAUCAGCAUAAACAGAAAAUAAUAGCUAUUAUAGUAGAAGGACGAAGAUCACGAAAUAAUCGCGCUAGACGACGACCAAGCACUGCUAAUUACCGUAAAUUGGAUUGUACAUUAGAAGAAGCAGUUACAUCACAAUGUAAUGCAAAUGUUACCCAUGUUAUAUACUAAUGCAUGUAUCAAAUAUUUUAAAGCUAUUGUAUAAUAGCACGCGUGUAACAUAUUAUUUUGUAUUCAUGUAUACUUCCAUUAUAAUAUGAAUUUAUUUUUAACAAAUUAA